UCUCCUAGAUUUUCUAGUUCAUCUGCAUAAAGGUGUUUAUAGUGUUCUCUGAUGGGAUUUUUAAUUUCUAUGGGGUCAGUGGGGAUAUACCCUAUGUCAUUUUUUACUGUGUCUACUGGAUUCUCCUCUCUUUUCAUCUUUAUUAGUCUGGCUAGUGGUCUAUUUUACUUCAUAAAUCUUU